CAGUAGCCGCGGUAAUACGUAGGGUGCAAGCGUUAAUCGGAAUUACUGGGCGUAAAGCGUGCGCAGGCGGUUAUAUAAGACAGAUGUGAAAUUCCCGGGCUCAACCUGGGAACUGCAUUUGUGACUGUAUAGCUAGAGUACGGCAGAGGGGGAUGGAAUUCCGCGUGUAGCAGUGAAAUGCGUAGAUAUGCGGAGGAACACCGAUGGCGAAGGCAAUCCCCUGGGCCUGUACUGACGCUCAUGCACGAAAGCGUGGGGAGCAAACAGGAUUAGAUACCCCGGUAGUCCCUGUCUCUUAUAC
rnacentral:rRNA from 1 species